GCUGUAGCUUAGUUGCAGGGCACCUGCUUUGCAUGCAGAAGGUCACGGGUUUGAUCCCCAGCAUCUCCA